rnacentral:rRNA from 1 species
UGGGGAAUCUUCCGCAAUGGACGAAAGUCUGACGGAGCAACGCCGCGUGAGUGAAGACGGCCUUCGGGUUGUAAAGCUCUGUGAUCCGGGACGAAAGAGCCUGAGGUAAAUAGCCUAAGGAAGUGACGGUACCGGAAAAGCAAGCCACGGCUAACUACGUGCCAGCAGCCGCGGUAAUACGUAGGUGGCAAGCGUUGUCCGGAAUUAUUGGGCGUAAAGCGCGCGCAGGCGGCUUACUAAGUCCAUCUUAAAAGUGCGGGGCUUAACCCCGGGAUGGGAUGGAAACUGGAAAGCUGGAGUAUCGGAGAGGAAAGUGGAAUUCCUAGUGUAGCGGUGAAAUGCGUAGAGAUUAGGAAGAACACCGGUGGCGAAGGCGACUUUCUGGACGAAAACUGACGCUGAGGCGCGAAAGCGUGGGGAGCAAACAGG